rnacentral:rRNA from 1 species
CACUAGCGUAUAUUAAAGCUGCUGCAGUUAAAACGCUCGUAGUUGUGGUUUCGUUAGCGAGAGGGUGCGUGUCUCAAAAAGACGCGUGCCAGCUGGCUAAUUACAAGCGAGUGUGCGUGUUAAGUCACACACACUCAGUAAACCUUGAAAAAAUAUUGACGCUUAAAAUUGGACUUAGGUCCAAGUUCUUUCUGCAUGGGAUUUUGGAAUACGAGUGGUGGAGUAAGAUCCGCCGCUAAUGACAUUUGAGGAUGAAAGAGGAAGUUAAUAUUUAGCUGUCAGAGGUGAAAUUCUUGGAUUAGCUAAAGAUUAACUAAUGCGAAGNCANNNUUCAAUUGCUUUCCUGUNAA